rnacentral:siRNA from 1 species
CCUCCGGUUGGGGAUGGUCUUUA